rnacentral:tRNA from 1 species
AGAGGAGAAGCCUAGUUGGCACCAAAAUUCCAUUUUGGAAAAGCAGGACACACUCCCUGCCUUCUCAG